AUUUAAAUGAGAGUUUGAUCCUGGCUCAGGACGAACGCUGGCGGCGUGCCUAAUACAUGCA
rnacentral:rRNA from 1 species